rnacentral:lncRNA from 1 species
GGAGUCACGCGAAGUCGGAAGUACCAGCUGCGGGAAGGAGCUGCCCACUGUGCGUCUUCUCAACUUGUUGGGACAACCUUCCUGCGGAAAGGAGAGACAACCUUCCUGCAGAAAGGAGCUACCUGCUUCAGGUCUACUGAGAGCUGUUCUGCCACUCAAUAAAGCUCUUCUCCAUCUUGCUAAGCCUCCAUUUGUCCGCAAUACCUCAUCUCCCUGGACGCAGGACAAGAACUCAGGACCCGCCUGGAGGUGCCCACAGCAGAAUCCACAUGCCGUCCAUCUGGUCCAGCCUCACGCAGAGCCACAACUGUGCUGGCGCCUGGAGCUGCCAGCCCCACUGCAGCAGCCGGACUGACAUUCAGACGUGGAGCAAGUUGGACUGCAUAGGGACCCACCAGUGAGAUGGACGCUGUCUGUAAACGAUGACUUCUAGGAAGAAAAGAAAAAAUUCUGAUUAAACAGCCAUAUUCAUGCUGGAAGUCUACACUUUGAAUUUCUUGCACUCCAAGAUUCUAACUGUUGACCAGUUAUCAGCUGACAUUCUAUAUAUGUUUGAUGAGUAGCUGAAUGGCUGAAAAGAUUAGUGCAAACUAAAGAAUUACUAAAGUCCUGAAUGUGAUGUUUGGUUAUGUCUAUAAUUUAUAGAAUUUUCCCUAUUAUUUUAAAUGCUAACAUUUCAUGGAAGUAUAUUUGAAUAUAAAAGAUUAUAAAAUUACUAAUCCAGCAUUUUAAAAAUCCCCUGCUGAAUUUCUUAGAAGCAGAUAUAAAUAAUAUAUUCUCUAGGUAAUUUCAUGUAUUUAUUUUUUUCUUUCAUGUUCUAAUUUUGUUGAGACAAAAGGAGGGCUUUUUCUUUCAACCAAAAUAAUCAGAAAUCUUAUCAGUUUAGUAAUUAGGGAUUGAAAUACAAAGCUAGUGAAGUAAGGCUACAUUGCAAAGUCUGAUAGUGUACAGUAGUUUAAUGUUUAUUUCUCUGGCAUCAUGUCCUCUCUGUAAGAGAAUGUGUUGGAAGGUAAGCACAAAUAGUUUUUUGCUUGACAUGCUGUAUUUCGUCAUGCUGCUAAUUAGCACAAACACUUACUCCAAGAAGUGAAAUCAUUACUUUCUCUGGGAGUAACUGAGAGGUUCUUUGUAGUGGAGAAAAAGCCCAGGUGUCCAGCUUGAAAUAGCAAUUACCACCCAGGUGUCUGUCGUAGUAACAACAAAAUACUUUAGCUAAAAAUCCAAGAAGAAGAAUGGAACUGCUUCAUUCUUUCUAUGUUGGAUGGCAUUCACGAAUAUGUAUUAGUAAAUAAAAUAAUUAUCUCUUGCUGUGUAAAAAACUACUUCAAAAUUUAGCAGCUUAAAACAGCAAGCAUUUAUUAUCUCACAUGGUUUCUGAGAGUCAGAAAUCUGGGAGCAGCUGAGCUGGGUGGCUCUAGCUCUGGACGUCUUGUGAGGUUUUACUCCAGCCGUUGCCUGGACAGUCACCUGAAGCUUAGCUGGGGCUGGAGGGUCUGCUUGCAAGCUCCCUCCUCUGGCUGUUGGCAGAAGGCCUCAGUUUCUCACUAUGUGGGCCUCUCCGUAGGACUGCUUGCAACAAGGCAGCUGGUUUCUCUCAGGGUGAAUUAUGAGAGAGAAAGAGAUAAAAAUUGAACGUCUUUUAUAGCAUAAUACCAUCCCUUCUACUAUAUCCUGUUGGUCACAUUGACCAACUCUGGCACAAUGCAGGAAGGAACUACAAAGAGUGUGAAUUCAGGAGGUGGAGACUAUUGGGGGCCAUCUUGGAAGCUGAUAAUCACCAGGUACUAAACUUGUUCCAGGAAGUACCCCAGGCAUAGAUAAUACAUGUAUGAAUAGGACAAUUUAUUUAUUCCUUUUAUUAGUCUUGUGAUCAAUAGAACAUGUAUUUAAUAUCUACUAUAUGCCAGCAUCUGUGUUACACAAAAGGUAUUCUAAAGUAAAUAAGACAUGAGCUUAUCCUUAUAUUCUGGCGGGAGAGAUAAAUAUGUCAGUAAAUAGACAAUGGUGUUCCACUCUAACAUAAAAGAGAUUACACUAAGUAUUGUAGGGGCAUUUUGGAGAGAGGUUGCGUAGAGAAUGUGCAAAGUUGAGCAAUUGCUCCGAAGUGCAUUUGAGUAGGAUAGACAGAGCGAUUAGCGUUGAGAGCUACAGCCACUCAGUAUUUUAGAAGAAUGAAAUAGCAUGCAUAUAGAUUUACUUUUGCAAAUACAGGUGCAACAGUGUCUCUUGCCCUAUGUGCUCUUCUUCAACGUGACCUGGACAUUUUCCCAUCUAGAAUUGGGAUCUAUUUCUCUGUGCUCUUAAAUCUGAGGGUCUUGGGAACUGCCUUCACUAAUAGACUAUGGUAGAAGUGUUGCCAUGCCUUUUUCUGUUAUAGCCUUUAGCUAGCUGCGCAGUUUCUACUGCCUGCCUCUUGGAAUCUAGCUUCCGUGUAAAAAGUGAGACUUCUUUUAGAUACCCUUGCUGCAAGAAGGUAAGCCAAGUGAAGAAAGCCUGGAGGAUGAGAAGCCACAUGAAGAGAGAGAGAGGUCAAGAAGCCCUAAGGCACCAGAUGUGAGUAAAGAAGCUAUUUUGAAGAAGAUUCUUCCACCCCAGCUGAUGCAAUAUUGAUCAGAAACGACCACCCUUUGGAGCCGUUUCUACAUUCCUUACCCCAAAAAAUCAUUAGCAAAAUAAAAAUGAUUGCUUUUAGCUAUUAAAUUUUGGGGUAGCCAGUUGUCCUGCAAGAGAUAACUGAAAUAAUGAGCAUGUCACAUUACAUAAUUAGUAAACCAUAUAAUGGAGCUAGCCUAAAUUACAGACUGGGGCAGGCCAGCGUGAAGCUGGCACAAAAUUCAAUGAAAAACAAAACAUACUUUCUGUGUUCUGCCAAAUGCUGUUAGGAAAGAGGUGGACACACUCAACUCUUCUGAAUGGCAGAGUGGCAUAAUGAGAUUCGUGAUUAGAGAUGAUCAUACUGGGAGAAAUUCAGAAGAUAAGUGACACGGUGGAGACAUUUGAGGAAAGCGGCACCAUUCUUCUUUUAUUAUUAUUAUACUUUAAGUUCUGGAAUACACGUGCAGAACAUGCAGGCUUGUUAGAUAGGUAUACAUGUGCCAUAGUGGUUUGCUGUACCCAUCAACCCAUCAUCUAGGUUUUAAGCCCCACAUGCAUUAGGUAUUUGUCCUAAUGCUCUCCCUCCGCUUGGCCCCAGCGUGUGAUGUUCCCCUCCCUGUGUCCAUGUGUUCUCAUUGUUCAACUCCCACUUAUGAGUGAACAUUCAGAUGCAGCACCGUUCUUAUACGUGCUCUUGAAAUUGACCAUACAAGGAUGAUGAAGGCAGACAAUGGAAGAGUCACAGCAUAGAGAGGAGCAACACACUUAGAAAAAAUUAGUAAUCAGAAUCACGGAGGUUUGAUUAGGAGAAAGGAGUGAGAGAACAAUUGUUGCAGAUGACUCUACAAUGCUUUGCAAUCGUCUAAGAAAGCAAACACAGGAAAAGGAGUAGCUAUAGUGGGGCAAAGGUGGCUAAUGAGUCGGUUUCAAAUGUGUUGAAUUUGAGGUGCCUAUGGGAUUUUUAAUGACUGCAGUCAAGUAUUGGAAAAGCGAUUGUACUAUGGUUUUACUCUGCCAUCAUUUUCCCCUCUCUCACACUUCCUGAUUAUUUUUAAUAGAGGGCAGCAAUCCAAGAGAUGUUGGUUGCUACUGAGUUCCCACUAAUAGCUUCAUACAGAUUCUCACAUUGUAAUGGUCCUAACAUCCCAACAACCCACUUUUCCCAUUUGGUAUUUUUUUUUUGAUAUCUAAUUACAGGCAUAAGAUCUCAGUAAUGACUGGGUUACAUUUUCUGCUAGACAAAUUAUGGACAUAAUUAUAGGCACAUGUUCAGUAUAAUAUCGAAACAUCUGAUGCUUCUAUAGAGAAGAUAAUUGUCAAUCUUUGUAGUGUAAUUAAGUCUAAAUGGGAAUCCUCAUCAUUUUCCAAAUGAGCAAACAGUGAGCUAGUCUUGAUUGGCUGUGUCAUGGCAGCUAGUGAAAUGGAUUUGCUGUGUAGGUUAAUUAGUCAUGUAUGAAUGUCACAACCCUCAGAAAACUCGACAUUAGCUCUAAGUAUUAGAGUUAAUUAGCAGUACAUUGUUGCAACUCUCCAUGAUAUUUACCUGGCUUAUCUUUGGAAAUCUAGCCUUUCAUUUUUUUUUCCUGAAUCUUUCUUCUCAUAGUGAUUCAGAGCAUUUAAAUUUUCUACCCAUGAAUUCCAAUAAACAUGAGAGAGCACAGGAGCAAGGAUUUACAGUGAAACAGACCUGGGUUCAAAUCCCUUUCAAUUUCAUUCUUACAGUGAACAUUUUGACUAUUUACUGUUAAUAUCUCUCAGUUUCAGUAGUUUAUCCAUAAAUACCUGUUUAAUCUUAUUUUUAAUGCUUUUUUAAAUAAACUUGAGGCAUUCAUAAGUCUUUUCC